CCCUUAGAUGUUCUGGGCCGCACGCGCGCUACACUGAUGCCUUCAACGAGUCUAAAACCUGCUCUGAUAGGGGUGGGUAAUCUUUUGAAUGUGCAUCGUGAUUGGGAUAGAUGAUUGAAAUUUUUCAUCUUCAACGAGGAAUGCCUAGUAAACGCAAGUCAUCAGCUUGCAUUGAUUACGUCCCUGCCCUUUGUACACACCGCCCGUCGCUCCUACCGAUUGAAUGAUCCGAUGAAUAUCAUGGAUUGAGGAUGCAAGUAGGUUCACCUAUCUUCAUCUUCGAGAAGUGAAGUAAAUCUUAUCAUUUAGAGGAAGGAGAAGUCGUAACA
rnacentral:rRNA from 1 species